rnacentral:rRNA from 1 species
UACGUAGGGGGCAAGCGUUGUCCGGAUUAUUGGGCGUAAAGCGCGUGUAGGCGGCUUGGCAAGUCCGCUGUGAAAACUCGAGGCUCAACCUCGAGAUGUCGGUGGAAACUGCCUGGCUAGAGUCCGGAAGAGGAGUGUGGAAUUCCUGGUGUGAGCGGUGAAAUGCGCAGAUAUCAGGAAGAACACCUAUGGCGAAGGCAGCACUCUGGGACGGUACUGACGCUGAGACGCGAAAGCGUGGGGAGCGAACAGG